UCCAGUCUCUGCUUUUCACAGUACUGUGAAUAGUCUGCCGUAUUGUGGCUUGAAUUCAAUAAAGUCUCGACUGUCGGCUGUGUAGGAAUUCUGUCGAACUCUGACUUAAACAUCACAUUCACUUUGUCUCUUAAUGGACUGAAAGGUAAAUUAGGAAUGAAACAGGAAUGAGUGAAUGUAAACAGCACAGUUCACCCUGAGGGCCUGAGGGUCAUCUGAGCAGCGUUCUCAGCAGAUCAUGGAUGGACAUCAAGAAAACUAGCCUGACAGGAGCUGAGAGUAGUUUUAAAGGAGAUUCAUCGGAUUCAAAGGAGAUUCUAAAGACUCCUAACCCACGAGUAAAAGGAGUCAAAAGGUUAACUGGAAUAGAAAAGGAAAUGAAGUAACACUUCCUGCCUGAUCUUGAAACACCAUCAGGCUGUGGAUGUUUAGGCAGCCGGUUAUGACUAGAGAGAUCCAAAAGCCCUUUUGUGUUCAUUUUGUGUAGACUUUUUCAAAUUUAAAUCCAAAACCUCAUGUAAUCCUCAAUUAAUCCAUUUGCAACAUGGCACUGCAACAAGAAAAAAAAAAGCCACACCGAAACAUAAUCCGAGAGAGCAGACGAUGUUGUUUUUCUUUCUUUUCUUUUUAGUUUCACCUUCACUUGUGAGUCUAUGUAAAGAGUUCGUCUGGAGUUAAUUUAUGCCUGUGAUGGUUCAUUACAGUAAUUAAGAGGUCGGUGUAAAUAGUUCUGACAGGGUGGACCGAUGCACGGUGGGAGCCUGCGGCCCGGCUGUGUGGCCCGGACGCCUGGCGGACAGCGCUCUCUGCCCCUAGUUAUGUAACACCCUAAUUACAUCUUGGCUUCAGUUUGCCUUUCCUCUCCUCUUCCUCUGCUUCUAAUGUUUGUUUCUGGAUUUUUCUGUGGCUGUAUAAUCAGUGUCGGGCUCUGAGCCCUGCUGCGUUGACACGUCACGCUCUUUUGGACGGUCAGUUUGACUGAAUGGGAUGGAUAAAUCCUACUGUACAUAAAAGCUACUGGUGUAAACAGGAGGAAGGAGAGGAGAACUGAAUGGCUAAAUAAUGCAACGGGUAACUAUUUAUGUGAUUAGCAUCAUGCUGCAAACACUGUAUGUUGCUCCAGUCCGAUUCAUUUCCAAAGUCUUUGCAUUGCUCAUUUUUUGAUUGGUUUUAAUUUUGUGGAAUAUGAAUAAUUGAUGUUUUAUGUGUUGGGAAAAUGGUCCUUAAAAUGUAUCAAAUAUGAGACGACACAUUUGUCACCAGUAGCUGAACUCUAAUCAGAUCAUGGACUGUUUUGCACGCAGGUCAGAAGAUUAAUCCCCACAAUCAUAACACAUCUUAAUCACAUGUUUAUCUUCUUAGCUUUAAAUAUUGUUCAUGACAAUAGUGGAAAAUCAAGAACGAGCAUGUCUUCAAAGUCUGUGUGUCGCUUUUGAUGUGCCCCCUUUCCGAAUAGUGCAGGCGUAUCGGGAUCAAGGGUGAGGAAGUCGGCAUGUUUUGUCGCGUCAGGAUGGAGUUAUUGUUUUUAUAAUCAAGAUUCAACCGAUCGCCCGACAAUAAAAUUGCAGUGCUUUAUGUGUGACCCUAAAUGAUUUCAUUAGUCAAAUUAAUAAAAGAAAAAAACGUCAAGCCAACAAUUUCACCUUCAUUCUCAUGCAUCCAGCAUGCAGAGAUGAGUGAAUCGUCAUCAGGGCAGACAGGACAGUGCAGCCAGAAUGAGAUUCAACAAUAUUAUGUAGAGUUGAUGUUUGCUUGCUGCAUUCAGGUCGCUUCCUUCUCCCAGGUCUCUGGAGCAAUGCGGUAAAUACGUUAAGGCAACAGGGUGAUCACACUGAAAACUCACCACUUUCCAUGCGUGGAAAAACAGGCGGAACGUCAUGAGUGCGUACGGACGGUUUGAGCGUUCAACAAGAUUUAACACAAAUGGACACUGACUGAGCAAAUUAUCUACAGAGUUUAUAUACGGAAGAGGCACAAACACCUGACCAGGGUAGUUUCCUAGAACGCACACACAGAGGAAUAAAUUUAGAAACCUCAGUGUUUUCCCCAACAUUGCGUGCUGGCUCACACUUAUGGAAAGGUCCUUGACCUUUACAUACUUUACACUUACUUUCCAUAAGUGUAAAGGUCAAGGACAGGUCCCACAGCAAACAGACGUCACCCAGGAUGAGUUCCUGAACUGCAGUGUGUUUUCUAAAGACUGCAGAACUUUACAGAAGUUUUCUAUUCUUCCCAUGCUACUUUGACAAUCAGGAGCAAGCUUCAGAUAUGGACCCGCGCAGCUUUUCAGCAGGAUUUCGUUUUGCGUUAGCAGCAAAUCCAACAACACUUUCACGUGGCAGCUCACGGCACGCAGCUGUUUGACUCGAUUCCGCUGCAGAGGAGUGAAUUUAACGAAUGAAGGUACGAGGGCAGACGGUGCGACGUUUUCAAGAAUGAGGAUGCGACUACAGGGACCGAAAAGAAAAAAAAAAUUGACACCCUUUUAAAUUCAGCUGCUGUUGCCAUAGUGACUUUACCCGCGGUUAUGCAAGAACUCCACUUGUGGUGGCAAACUCCACUGUAGUGAUGCACAGGCUCACAUGUGAUACGGAAUAAUUCAAGAAAUGUGUUUGUAUUUAUUUAUAUAUUUUUUCUUUUAAAGGUGACGAAGCUUAUUAAAUGUACGGAGCGCAGGCCUGGAUGGAUGCAGCACACGCAGUGGUGACAGAAUGGGAUCACUGAGCUGGCUGAGAGCAGCCCACUGACCCCGAGGCUGUUAUGUAACACUACUUGCUCUCUCCCUCCCUCCACCACUCCUUCCCUGCAGCGUGGCGAGGGAAGAGCUUAUCUGCUACCUCUCCCUCCUCUCAUCCGUUGUUCUUUCAAAGCGCAGCCUGUAAACAUCAACUGGACACAGUUCUUUGCAAAGAACUCGCUUGUCUCGUUGCAACCACAACACAGACCUUGGUGUAUUUUCUUAAGAUUUCACACAAAAGUCUGUGCACGAUUUUGAAUUUUUUUCCCCUACAAAUGUAGGUGUGAAGAAUGUGCCGUGCGUUUAGAUUUCGAACCUUUUCUCAUUCUUACACCCCUGAAUAAAAUCCAUUGGCGUCAAAUGUCCAGAGGAGUCAAACUGGAUUAGAUCAAUUAGAUUUAAUGGUGGUAUAAACACACCCUGUUCUGAGCAGGCCUCGGAGCUUUUCUCAGAAAACUUUAUUGAGCGACCGGCGUUACGAGGGCAGUGUUCCUGUUUUAAUUUGCAACAAAAUGUGAAACACUUUUCCUUCCACUCCACAGUCACGCACUACUUCGCGCUUUAGCUGUAAUGUGACGAAACACGAGAGACUCCAAAGGGUGCAGUGAAGCCAUUUUUAUACCAAACCUGCACGCUUUCUUUUUCUUUUUCUUUUUUUUACAAUUGAAUACAGAUUUGAAACCUUGUGUCUUAAAUUAGGUCUCCUGUUUUAUAUAUAUAUGUAUUUUUUAAACCUUUCAUGUUUGUCGAAAAUAAAAUGUAUCAAAAGCGAUAUCUGAGCAAGGACAGCAUGCGCUCUCCCAUUGCUGCCCUGACCCGGACUCUUAAAGGUCACAGCGUCUGUCGCGUCACUCAUAAAGGGUUUGACCCACUUCAGCCGAAGGGAUUACCGUCUCAACAAACCAAACGUGUCUUACCGGUGAAGCACAUUGCUGUAUUAGAGUUAUCUGACUGGAGAGAUGUAAGACUAGGAAUACUUUGUAAUAUCUUCCUUAUUCACUCAUUCACACAUUACACACUCACUUCGGAGGCUUGACAUGCCAAAAUGCGUAGCAAAAAUGUAAUAAAAAAAGUUAAUAAUGCUGUUGUCUGACUUAUUGGAACACAUUGUAUAGAUGUACAAAAUUAAAGAUGAUUAUUUUAAUUAUUUUGUCUGGCUUAUCUCCAGGCAAAAUAUAAUUUCCAUUUUAAUACUGGAUAUGGAUUUCUAAACCAAAUAAACGGUUUAAUUUUUUGUAGGAGCCCCUGGAAAUGGAGGAAAGGCCACUUAUGAUGACCUGUUUAUGUAGAUCCCUACUAUAGAAGAUGUACAUCUAUAAACGUUUUAAUUUUAUAACUAUAACCCCAAGGACGUGUACUUUUACACAACAAAAAUGUUCAACAUGCUGGAGGUUGAGGUCAAUAUUCAAACCUAUUUCCUAUUUACUGCUGCACUUUCUCCUCACUGACCCUUUUGUUUUGUGUGAUUUCUUUUUAUUGAGUCCUUUGAUAACAGCAGAGCUUUGUGCUGAUGGAAGGAGGAUAGAGUAGGAAUAGAGUAGAGGACCUGCUGAUCUACUGGUUCUAGUAGAUUUUAUGAAUGCAUCACCGAGACAAGGCAACAGCAGCCUGUAAGCCAUCGGCUCCCUGGGAUCAGUCCUCAUGUCAUCGUCCAUGUAUGCUGAGUACGGAGGCCUUUUCCUGCCCCCUAUGGCCCACAAUGCAGAGAGCCGGGAGUUUGCCCAAAACUUUUCAGUGGAAGACUCUGAUGUGUUUGGGGUGACACAUCCCAA